GAUGAACGCUGGCGGCGUGCCUAAUACAUGCAAGUCGAGCGAACAGACGAGGAGCUUGCUCCUCUGACGUUAGCGGCGGACGGGUGAGUAACACGUGGAUAACCUACCUAUAAGACUGGGAUAACUUCGGGAAACCGGAGCUAAUACCGGAUAAUAUAUUGAACCGCAUGGUUCAAUAGUGAAAGACGGUUUUGCUGUCACUUAUAGCUGGAUCCGCGCCGCAUUAGCUAGCUGGUAAGGUAACGGCUUACCAAGGCAACGAUGCGUAGCCGACCUGAGAGGGUGAUCGGCCACACUGGAACUGAGACACGGUCCAGACUCCUACGGGAGGCAGCAGUAGGGAAUCUUCCGCAAUGGGCGAAAGCUUGACGGAGCAACGCCGCGUGAGUGAUGAAGGUCUUCGGAUCGUAAAACUCUGUUAUUAGGGAAGAACAAAUGUGUAAGUAACUAUGCACGUCUUGACGGUACCUAAUCAGAAAGCCACGGCUAACUACGUG
rnacentral:rRNA from 1 species